CCCUUAGAUGUUCUGGGCAGCACGCGCGCUACAAUGGUCUUCGCAAACGGAUGCAUUCUCGAAGGAGAAUGCCAAUCUUGGAAUCUAUGCCUUGGUCGGGACAGUUGCUUGCAAUUUUUCGACUCGAACCAGGAAUUCCUUGUAAUCGUGAUUCAUCACAUCACGAUGAAUACGUCCCUGCCCUUUGUACACACCGCCCGUCGCUCCUACCGAUCGAAGAGUUAGGUGAAUUGUCUUGAUCGAUAAGAUUUGACUAUGGUCAACUCUCGUUGUGAAAUUCUGUGAAUCUGACUGUUUAGAGGAAGGAAAAGUCGUAACA
rnacentral:rRNA from 1 species